rnacentral:misc_RNA from 1 species
CUGGAAUCGCAAGAUCCCACAACCCCUGUGAACCUACCGAAACGUUGCCUCGGCGGGUGCCCGGCCCUGCGCCGGGCGCUGCGCCCGCCGGCGGCCCCCUACUCUUGUCUCUGCAGCGUGGCAUCUCAGAGUCCCAGAAAACAAGUCA